GGGGGCGACCCGGUUUCGACGUGGGUUGCAAAGCAGCGUAGGGCAUACCGAGGACCAGUUCCCUCGUAAAUCUACUGGAAAAAACUAGUCGCAAACGACGAAAACUUCGCUGUAGCCGCUUAAGGCUUAGCCUCUGCAACGGUUCUCUCAUGGGCCGUGCCGGGAAACCGGCAGCAGAGUCAUUCACAUGAGAUCGCGCCGGUCCGGGUUACUUGAACCGGUGCUAAAGAAAAGGUAACUCGCCCGAGUCCAGCCUGUCCGGUUGGCGUGACAAGGGUUAAAACCAAACAAUCGGACUAAGUAUGUAGAACUGCCUGUAGAGGGCUUGCGGACGCGGGUUCGAUUCCCGCCGCCUCCACCA
rnacentral:tmRNA from 1 species